rnacentral:misc_RNA from 1 species
AAAGAAAAAGAAUAUAUUUCAAUUUUGUUAGGUGGGAUGUCAUUUUGCUUGGCCUUGUUUUUCAGCUUAUUAAUGGUCGUGCCGUCGUGGUUUACACUAAUUUCUGGCGUGUUUCUGAAGUUUAAUGGCUUGAUUUUUUUUGGGAGUACUAAAUUAUUCAAUAUACUUUAGAGGAGUUACUUGACAUCGGUUUAGUUGCAGCUAUUAGGUGCCAUUGACAUUUUCUGUCAGUAGGGGUACUUUGUCUGCCUUAAUAUUUGUCUUUGUGGGUGUCCUUUUUAGUUUUUAUUAUGAACUUAGUUAAGAUAUAGUUAGAUGCUGGAAACUGAUAGCAUAUAAAGAAUGAUAGAACUCUGUUUCCAAACGAGUGGUUUAUUUUGUAGUGAUAUAGUGAUCCUUGAUUGCUUGUUGAACACGAACCAUGUCAAUUGCAUAGAACGCUAUUUGAUG